AUUGAACGCUGGCGGCAGGCCUAACACAUGCAAGUCGAACGAGUGGCGGACGGGUGAGUAAUGUCUGGGAAAUUGCCUGAUGGAGGGGGAUAACUACUGGAAACGGUAGCUAAUACCGCAUACCAUCGGAUGUGCCCUGGUGGGAUUAGCUAGUAGGUGGGGUAAAGGCUCACCUAGGCGACGAUCCCUAGCUGGUCGGAGAGGGUGACCAGCCACACUGGAACUGAGACACGGUCCAGACUCCUACGGGAGGCAGCAGUAGGGAAUAUUGCGCAAUGGGAGAAAGCCUGAUGCAGCCAUGCCGCGUGUGUGAAGAAGGCCUUCGGAUUGUAAAGUACUUUCAGCAGGGAAGCGUUACCCAAAGAGAAAGCAACGGCUAACUCCGUGCCAGCCGCCGCGGUAAUAC
rnacentral:rRNA from 1 species